rnacentral:rRNA from 1 species
GAUGAACGCUAGCUACAGGCUUAACACAUGCAAGUCGAGGGGCAGCAUGAACAUAGCUUGCUAUGUUUGAUGGCGACCGGCGCACGGGUGCGUAACACGUAUCCAAUCUGCCCGUCACUCGGGGAUAGCCUUCUGAAAGGAAGAUUAAUACCCGAUGGGAUGCAUUUCCGGCAUCGGAGAUGCAUUAAAGAUUUAUCGGUGACGGAUGAGGAUGCGUACGAUUAGCUUGUUGGCGGGGUAACGGCCCACCAAGGCAACGAUCGUUAGGGGUUCUGAGACGGAAGGUCCCCCAGACUGGAACUGAGACACGGUCCAGACUCCUACGGGAGGCAGCAGUGAGGAAUAUUGGUCAAUGGGCGAGAGCUUGAACCAGCCAAGUAGCGUGAA